UGCAUGGUGGCACAGUUGGUAGUACUGGUGCCUUGCAACUAGACGGUCCUGGGUUCAACUCCCGGCCUGGGGUCUUUCUGCAU